rnacentral:rRNA from 1 species
GAUGAACGCUGGCGGCGUGCCCAAUACAUGCAAGUCGAGCGAACAGACGAGGAGCUUGCUCCUCUGACGUUAGCGGCGGAAGGGUGAGUAACACGUGGAUAACCUACCUAUAAGACUGGGAUAACUUCGGGAAACCGGAGCUAAUACCGGAUAAUAUAUUGAACCGCAUGGUUCAAUAGUGAAAGACGGUUUUGCUGUCACUUAUAGAUGGAUCCGCGCCGCAUUAGCUAGUUGGUAAGGUAACGGCUUACCAAGGCAACGAUGCGUAGCCGACCUGAGAGAGUGAUCGGCCACACUGGAACUGAGACACGGUCCAGACUCCUACGGGAGGCAGCAGUAGGGAAGCUUCCGCAAUGGGCGAAAGCCUGACGGAGCAACGCCGCGUGAGUGAUGAAGGUCUUCGGAUCGUAAAACUCUGUUAUUAGGGAAGAACAAAUGUGUAAGUAACUAUGCACGUCUUGACGGUACCUAAUCAGAAAGCCACGGCUAACUACGUG